UGCCAACUGCCACAUUGUGGGGACAUUCAAGCACUAUGGAGGGGUCUACAGAGCGAGGAAGUGGAUCCACUAUGAAAGUGGAUUCUCCCAGUCUCAGUUGAGCCUUCAGGAGGACACAAUGAGAAUGCUGCAGCUGGUCCCCAUGACUCCCACCCCUGUGCUAGCGGACGCAGUUCAAGCCGUAGCCCCAAAGAGAAACAGGCAGAAGCAGAGAAGAGCCACUCCAUUUGUCUUUAGAAUCUUCACCUUGGGAAGCAAAGUGCAGGC